CCUACGGGGGGCUGCAGUCGAGAAUCAUUCACAAUGGGGGAAACCCUGAUGGGGCGACGCCGCGUGGGGGAAUGAAGGUCUGCGGAUGGUAAACCCCUGUCAUGUGGGAGCAAAUUAAAAAGAUAGUACCACAAGAGGAAGAGACGGCUAACUCUGUGCCAGCAGCCGCGGUAAUACAGAGGGCUCAAGCGUUGUUCGGAAUCACUGGGCGUAAUGUGUGCGUAGGCUGUUUCGUAAGUCGUGUGUGAAAGGCGCGGGCUCAACCCGCGGACGGCACCUGAUACUGCGAGACUAGAGUAAUGGAGGGGGAACCGGAAUUCUCGGUGUAGCCGUGAAAUGCGUAGAUAUCGGGAGGAACACUCGUGGCGAAGGCGGGUUCCUGGACAUUAACUGACGCUGAGGCACGAAAGCCAGGGGAGCGAAAAGGAUUAGAUACCCCAGUAGUC
rnacentral:rRNA from 1 species